rnacentral:rRNA from 1 species
AGUGAACGCUGGCGGUAGGCCUAACACAUGCAAGUCGAACGGCAGCACAGUAAGAGCUUGCUCUUACGGGUGGCGAGUGGCGGACGGGUGAGGAAUACAUAGGAAUCUACUUUUUCGUGGGGGAUAACGUAGGGAAACUUACGCUAAUACCGCAUACGACCUACGGGUGAAAGCAGGGGAUCUUCGGACCUUGCGCGAUUGAAUGAGCCGAUGUCGGAUUAGCUAGUUGGCGGGGUAAAGGCCCACCAAGGCGACGAUCCGUAGCUGGUCUGAGAGGAUGAUCAGCCACACUGGAACUGAGACGCGGUCCAGACUCCUACGGGAGGCAGCAGUGGGGAAUAUUGGACAAUGGGCGCAAGCCUGAUCCAGCCAUACCGCGUGGGUGAAGAAGGCCUUCGGGUUGUAAAGCCCUUUUGUUGGGAAAGAAAAGCAGCAGGUUAAUACCCCGCUGUUCUGACGGUACCCAAAGAAUAAGCACCGGCUAACUUCGUG